rnacentral:rRNA from 1 species
UAGGGAAUAUUGCUCAAUGGGGGAAACCCUGAAGCAGCAACGCCGCGUGGAGGAUGAAGGUUUUAGGAUUGUAAACUCCUUUUGUUAGAGAAGAUUAUGACGGUAUCUAACGAAUAAGCACCGGCUAACUCCGUGCC